rnacentral:rRNA from 1 species
AUUGAACGCUGGCGGCAGGCUUAACACAUGCAAGUCGAGCGGAUGAAGGGAGCUUGCUCCUGGUUUCAGCGGCGGACGGGUGAGUAAUGCCUAGGAAUCUGCCUGGUAGUGGGGGAUAACGUCCGGAAACGGGCGCUAAUACCGCCUACGUCCUGAGGGAGAAAGUGGGGGAUCUUCGGAACUCACGCUCUCAGAUGAGCCUAGGUCGGAUUAGCUAGUUGGUGGGGUAAAGGCUUACCAAGGCGACGAUCCGUAACUGGUCUGAGAGGAUGAUCAGUCACACUGGAACUGAGACACGGUCCAGACUCCUACGGGAGGCAGCAGUGGGGAAUAUUGGACAAUGGGCGAAAGCCUGAUCCAGCCAUGCCGCGUGUGUGAAGAAGGUCUUCGGAUUGUAAAGCACUUUAAGUUGGGAGGAAGGGCAGUAAGUUAAUACCUUGCUGUUUUGACGGUACCAACAGAAUAAGCACCGGCUAACUUCGUG